UAAAAGGCGCGACCAUCCCCCCUUCCCCUAUUUUUUAAUUUCAUUCUCUACUUGGCCCGCCUCAUGAAAAAUGAUAGGCCUAUUGAUUCGAAGUAAGUACGAAAGGGUCGGUCAAUAGCAUAGCUAUUUUUUUCCUUUCGAAGGAAAGGCCUUCGCAUUCUUAAUCUGGUAGGGCCGGACGGCUUUGUUUGCCCUAGCUUGGCGAAUCCGCGCCCCUGACCGUUCUCGCGAAGUCUUUGCAACGGCUGGG
rnacentral:lncRNA from 1 species